rnacentral:rRNA from 1 species
AGUGAACGCUGGCGGUAGGCCUAACACAUGCAAGUCGAACGGCAGCACAGUAAGAGCUUGCUCUUACGGGUGGCGAGUGGCGGACGGGUGAGGAAUACAUCGGAAUCUACUUUUUCGUGGGGGAUAACGUAGGGAAACUUACGCUAAUACCGCAUACGACCUACGGGUGAAAGCAGGGGAUCUUCGGACCUUGCGCGAUUGAAUGAGCCGAUGUCGGAUUAGCCAGUUGGCGGGGUAAAGGCCCACCAAGGCGACGAUCCGUAGCUGGUCUGAGAGGAUGAUCAGCCACACUGGAACUGAGACGCGGUCCAGACUCCUACGGGAGGCAGCAGUGGGGAAUAUUGGACAAUGGGCGCAAGCCUGAUCCAGCCAUACCGCGUGGGUGAAGAAGGCCUUCGGGUUGUAAAGCCCUUUUGUUGGGAAAGAAAAGCAGCAGGUUAAUACCCCGCUGUUCUGACGGUACCCAAAGAAUAAGCACCGGCUAACUUCGUG